rnacentral:rRNA from 1 species
GACGGAGGCGGCCAGCGUUAUCCGGAAUUAUUGGGCGUAAAGGGUACGUAGGCGGCUGGUCAAGUCUGGGGUCAAAGGCCACAGCUCAACUGUGGGAAGGCCCUGGAAACUGACCGGCUAGAGUGAGGUAGGGGUUGCGGGAAUUCCCGGUGUAGCGGUGAAAUGCGUAGAGAUCGGGAAGAACACCUGAGGCGGAAGCGCGCAACUGGGCCUCAAAUGACGCUGAGGUGCGAAAGGUAGGGGAGCGAAUGGG